AGUGAACGCUGGCGGUAGGCCUAACACAUGCAAGUCGAACGGCAGCACAGUAAGAGCUUGCUCUUACGGGUGGCGAGUGGCGGACGGGUGAGGAAUACAUCGGAAUCUACUUUUUCGUGGGGGAUAACGUAGGGAAACUUACGCUAAUACCGCAUACGACCUACGGGUGAAAGCAGGGGAUCUUCGGACCUUGCGCGAUUGAAUGAGCCGAUGUCGGAUUAGCUAGUUGGCGGGGUAAAGGUCCACCAAGGCGACGAUCCGUAGCUGGUCUGAGAGGAUGAUCAGCCACACUGGAACUGAGACACGGUCCAGACUCCUACGGGAGGCAGCAGUGGGGAAUAUUGGACAAUGGGCGCAAGCCUGAUCCAGCCAUACCGCGUGGGUGAAGAAGGCCUUCGGGUUGUAAAGCCCUUUUGUUUGGAAAGAAAAGCAGCAGGUUAAUACCCCGCUGUUCUGACGGUACCCAAAGAAUAAGCCCCGGCUAACUUCGUG
rnacentral:rRNA from 1 species